rnacentral:misc_RNA from 1 species
GUCCAGAGUAGAAAAUUAUCACACAGGAUAUAUACACAAAGACACAUGAGAGCACUGAAACAACCAAAAAGACGAAAAGAAAUCAAACCCAUGCUUAAAACUCAAGACAAAUUUUCCGAACUGCCCACUUCAGCUCCCAUGCCCAGAACAAGAUCACAGAUCGAAUUCAGUAAUAACUUCCUGAUUCUCCACAAUUCCAAGAAAGACUUUUGUAAGAACUGUUUUAGA